GGCUCUGCUGUGCGUGCUAGAGCUGGCAUCAUGCAGGGGGCUGCAAGAUUGAAAUGUCAAGCCAGGUAUGACGGCACAUGCCUGUUAUCCCCAUUACUCUGGAGGUGGAAGGAGGAGGAUCCCUGAGCUAUACAGCAAGCUCCUGUUCCUGGGCUCGCCUGACCACUUCUUCCUGUAGUUCAUCCAAUUCACUUCUAGAGGUGACCUCCCCAUCUGAGAUAGAAGCAAAGAAGAUCAAUUACCACACCUCCAGAAUCAAGGCGAAUUAUCUGUUAACCUUAUGGUCACGAUGCCAUUUUCCCUUGGAGCUCUCGCUUUCCAGUUUGUUUCAGAUCCCUUUUCAUUAGAAACAGAGAGAGCAGCACAGGCCACGAAUAGUGACGGUGUUUACAGCAUGUAUAUUUUCAAUAUCUCAUGAAUACUAACAGUGUAACUCUUAAUAUGUUUUAAGCAUUUUCAAUAUACUAAGAACAAUUUUAAAAACA
rnacentral:lncRNA from 1 species